rnacentral:lncRNA from 1 species
CAUCGCCAAUCCCAUGAUGCUCUUCAUUGUUCGUGAGUAAUCACAUCGUAGGCUUGCUGGACGGUGAUGGGUUGGAUGAGAUCUAUCAUGUAAUAGAGUUAGUUUCGGUGGGGAUUGAUCCCUAGUAUCCACUAUGUUCUGAGAUUGAUGUUGCUACUACUUUGCCAUGAUUAAUGCUUGUCACUAGGGCCCGAGUGCCAUGAUUUCAGAUCUGAACCUAUUAUGUUGUCGUCAAUAUAUGUGUGUUCUUGAU